rnacentral:lncRNA from 1 species
UCCCAUGUGAAGAACCACCUGCUCACCAUGGCUCACACCAGCCUGCGGUUGUUGGGCUACAUGCGCAUCUGUGGUAAGUCAUCCCUGGCUCCAUCUCCGGUCCCUACAAGCGUGGCUGGCAUCAGUCUACAUCCCCACCGGGCACGACUAAGACCGGAUAGUCAGGGUGCCGGAUCACAUCCGGUCAUCCCUGGAUGGCGGUUGGACCCUGGGUCGGUGUUGGAGGGAGUUCCCUUCGUGGCCCUGUCCUCAUCGCUGACCCUGGUCUCCGACGCUUCGGACCUGGGCCGAGGAGCCCACCUGGGCGAGCUGAGCACCCAGGGCCACUGGUUGUGGGACGAUCUGGCCCACCACAUAAACGUCAGGGAGCUCAGAGUAGUUCACCUGGCCUGCCAGGCUUUCUUGCCCCACCUGAAGGGCAAGGUGGUACAGAUCCUGACAGACAAUACCACCAUAAUGUAAUGCAUCAACAGGCAGGGCAGUGCCAAGUCUUCGGCCCUUUGUCAGGAAGCUCUCAGCCUUUGGGAUGUUUGUGUGCAAUAUGCCAUUCAUCUGGUAGCUGCGCACCUGCCUGGAAUCAAGAAGUUGCUAGCAGAUCAUCUCAGCAGGACCUUCUCGUCUCACCACGAGUGGUCGCUCCAUCCGGAGGUGGUCAGCCUAAUCUUCCAGAGGUGGGGAACUCCCCAGGUGGACUUGUUCGCCUCCUGGCAGAACAGGAAAUGUCACAUGUUCUGUUCGAUCCAGGGGAUGGACCAGGGCUCCCUAUGAGAUGCAUUUCUUAUCCCGUGGUCAGAGACACUGAUGUAUGCCUUCCCACCUGUGUCAUUGAUUCACAGGGUCCUUGUGAAGAUCAAGCAGGACAGGGCAAAGGUUAUCCUAAUAGCCCCCGUGUGGCCUCGCCAGCACAGGUUUGGCACAUUGCUGAACCUUUCAGUAGCUGCUCCACUGCACCUGCCCCUCUGGUUGGAUCUGUUGUCCCAGAACCACGGCAGUCUUCUGCACCCGAACCUGGCGGUGCUGCACUUGAUAGUAUGGCUACUGCAUGGCUAAACGUGGAUGAACGGAAAUGCUCGGCCCAUGUUCAGCAGGUCUUUCUGGGUAGCAGAAAACGCUCCAUCAGAGCGACUUACCUGGCCAAAUGGAAAAGGUCCACGUGCUGGGUCUCAGAACGGAGUAUCCAGGCCGAGCAGGCCCCACUGCAGGAGAUCCUGGAUUAACUGCGGCACCUCAAACUCCAAGGUUUGUCUCUGUCAUCAAUCAAGGUCCACCUGGCCGCUAUCUCAGCUUUCCACUUUCCGUUCCAAGGCAGUUCGAUCUUUGCUCACGACAUGACAUCCCAGUUUUUGAAAGAUCUGGAGCAUCUCU